rnacentral:rRNA from 1 species
UGGGGAAUCUUGGACAAUGGGCGCAAGCCUGAUCCAGCCAUGCCGCGUGGAUGAUGAAGGCCUUAGGGUUGUAAAAUCCUUUCGUGGGGGACGAUAAUGACGGUACCCCAAGAAGAAGCCACGGCUAACUACGUGCCAGCAGCCGCGGUAAUACGUAGGUGGCAAGCGUUGUCCGGAUUUAUUGGGUUUAAAGGGUGCGUAGGUGGCCCUGUAAGUCAGUGGUGAAAUAUCUCAGCUUAACUGAGAGGGUGCCAUUGAUACUGCAGGGCUUGAGUACAGAUGAGGUAGGCGGAAUUGACGGUGUAGCGGUGAAAUGCAUAGAUAUCGUCAAGAACACCGAUAGCGAAGGCAGCUUACCAAGCUGUAACUGACACUGAGGCACGAAAGUGUGGGGAUCAAACAGGAUUAGAUACCCUUGUAGUCCCUGAGCGGGCUGGCAAGGCGCAU